CUACCAAGACAGUGACGGUUGACGGGAAAUGAGGGUUUUAUUCCGGAGAGGGAGCCUGAGAGAUGGCUGCCACGUCCAAGGACGGCAGCAGGCGCGAAACUUGCCCACUCUUUUGAGAGGAGGCGGUUAGGAGACGUGUUUGAAAGGACUAAGAGCAAAGAAGUUAGUUUGAAGCGAUUGGAGGGCAAGUUUGGUGCCAGCAGCCGCGGUAAUACCGACUCCAAGAGUGUCUAUGGUGGAUGCUGCAGUUAAAAAGUCCGUAGUUGAGAAUGGAAUUACAGGGUAUUGAUUGAGGAUACUGGGAUUUCUAGGAGUGGAGGAACGGAUAGGGAACAUAGUAUAGAUAGGCGAGAGAUGAAAUGACGAAGACCCUAUGUGGACUGACAGAGGCGAAAGCGGUGUUCUUAUACGAAUCAGAUGAUCAAGGACGAAGGCUGGAGUAUCGAAAGUGAUUAGAUACCGCUGUAGUUCCAGCAGUAAAAGAUGCC
rnacentral:rRNA from 1 species